CCAAAUUCCAUUUUUGCAAUCAAACGGACCCUUAUAAACAUCAUCCAUCUCCAACCAAACUGCCGCUAAGGUAAUCUACAAAUUUCCUAAAGAUAUCUUGCUGGGUCCGAAUGAAACUUGAAGAAUCCAGUACAGUAAUAACCAUGUCGUGUCAACACACUACUCCGUCGGAAUGGAGAGUCCAAGCAUCACAGAUUGAGGCUUAUGCAUCGAGGCGAUUGUGAUUUGUGCCAUUUGUCUUGCCUUCCAGGAGAUUUUUAUUGAUGGCCUCAAGUUUUGGAGUGGUUCUUCCUUUAGCUUAGAAUGUAUUGUGGAAUUUUUUGUUUUCUACCUUUAGCAAAAAAGGGAAGGAGGAGAAAACACCAUUGCAAAUGAAGGAUGCUAACAAGAAAUGAGAAGAAACUACAAGCAAGAUAGGAUCAUCUGAUCACUACCUGGUUUUAUUUUUUUAUCGAUAUUGGUGUUCAAUCAGCCAAAAAAAAGUCGAACUCAUUUCGUAUAGAAAGAAAGAUGUGGGUUUUCAGUUAUGGAUCAAAAUGAAAUCCCCGAAAACCAGGGCUGGAGUAUUAAACUAUUUUUCUUUCAAUAAAGGACAUCCAUUGGGUGGAAUAUUAAAAUAUAUUCUAUAUUGCAUUCAUUUUCAGUACUAG
rnacentral:lncRNA from 1 species